AUUGAACGCUGGCGGCAUGCUUUACACAUGCAAGUCGAACGGUAACAGGUCUUCGGAUGCUGACGAGUGGCGAACGGGUGAGUAAUGUAUCGGAACGUGCCCAGUAGUGGGGGAUAACUACUCGAAAGAGUGGCUAAUACCGCAUGAGAACUGAGGUUGAAAGUGGGGGACCGCAAGGCCUCACGCUACUGGAGCGGCCGAUAUCAGAUUAGGUAGUUGGUGGGGUAAAGGCCUACCAAGCCUGCGAUCUGUAGCUGGUCUGAGAGGACGACCAGCCACACUGGGACUGAGACACGGCCCAGACUCCUACGGGAGGCAGCAGUGGGGAAUUUUGGACAAUGGGCGCAAGCCUGAUCCAGCAAUGCCGCGUGCAGGACGAAGGCCUUCGGGUUGUAAACUGCUUUUGUACAGAACGAAAAAGCCUCUUCUAAUACAGGGGGUGCAUGACGGUACUGUAAGAAUAAGCACCGGCUAACUACGUGCCAGCCGCCGCGGUAA
rnacentral:rRNA from 1 species